rnacentral:rRNA from 1 species
UACGGGGGGGGCAAGCGUUGUUCGGAAUUACUGGGCGUAAAGGGCUCGUAGGCGGCCAACUAAGUCAGACGUGAAAUCCCUCGGCUUAACCGGGGAACUGCGUCUGAUACUGGAUGGCUUGAGUUUGGGAGAGGGAUGCGGAAUUCUCGGUGUAGAGGUGAAAUUCGUAGAUAUCGAGAGGAACACCUGUGGCGAAGGCGGUCUUCUGGACGGUUACUGACGCUGAGACGCGAAAGCGUGGGGAGCAAACAGG